rnacentral:piRNA from 1 species
UAUUCAGCACUACGAAGAAAUGGUCUAUC